rnacentral:rRNA from 1 species
UCAGACGAUGCGUCAUGCAUAUCAAUAAGCGGAGGAAAAGAAACUAACAAGGAUUCCCCUAGUAACGGCGGAGUGAAGCGGGAAGAGCUCAAAUUUGAAAUCUUAAAGGGUUUCCCUUUACGAAUUGUAGUUUAAAGAAGUGUUUUCUGUUGAGGUUUUGGUAAAAGUUCUUUGGAAUAGGACAUCAUAGAGGGUGAGAAUCCCGUAUUUGACCUUUACUUUCAACUUUGUGAUUACACUUUCAAAGAGUCGGAUUGUUUGGGAAUGCAGUCCAAAAUGGGUGGUAAAUUUCAUCUAAAGCUAAAUAUUGGCGAGAGACCGAUAGCGAACAAGUACCGUGAGGGAAAGAUGAAAAGAACUUUGAAAAGAGAGUUAAACAGUACGUGAAAUUGUCAAAAGGGAAGCGUUUGACACCAGUGUUGUUUUUCUGAAAAUCAAUUAAAGAACUGUUUAUGCUAAGCUGUUUAGACUUUAUCAGCUAUCUGUUUAGUUUUGAGCUUUUCUUUAAUGCACUUUUCAGUUAACAAGUCAACAUCAAUUUCUUUUGCUGUAAAAAAGCUUGAGGAAGGUGGCUUGAGAUUCGUCUUAAGUGUUAUAGCCUCUUGCCUAUGCAGUCGGAGAGAUUGAGGUCUGCAGCGUAGAUCCUUCGGGGCUAAAUGCAUUUGUGCUAAGUUAUAGCAUUUUAUAGACAACUUGUUGACUAUGAUUUGUCUUGUAGCUUACUCGCUUAUGUUAUUUUACCUACGCUUAGGAUGUUGACACACGCGCGUGCUCG